UAUUCCUUUCAAUUCUUCUGUCUAAGUGUUUCCUCUUUAGCUGAAUUCUUCCUUCUUUCAGGUAUACUUUCCGGUGUAGUUCAUGCCUAGCUUGAAAGAGAGUGUGAGCGUUGCAUUUCAGCUUUGUCGAUCUGUGUAAGCACUUUUCUACCACUUUCUCCUUUAUGUCUACCCUUGCUUUUCUAACUCCUUGUGUUUUCCAGUUGAAGCCGAAUAGGAGAUGCCCAGUUUGCUCCCGUGUUUCUUCGUCUCGAUUUCUCAGCUGGAUGCUCGCUUUGGUUUCAGAUAUGGCUCCUUGACUCUCAACUUUUGCUGGUCCCAGUAGUAGUAGUUCCUGUGUAACUUUUUGCUCCAAAAAUAGAUAGAUACUUCUUUGUAAAUAUUACAGCUGUGGAACCCUAUGACCUCAAUGUUGUUAUUAAUCAUGCUGCUUGUUGUUAUUACUGUAUAUUCUCCUUGUUCUGAUCCGAAGUGUUGGUACCUGAUGCUUAUCAAUAUUAAGAAGCUUUUUUCCUAGACUGGGC
rnacentral:lncRNA from 1 species